CCGCCCGCCGCCCGAGCCGCCGCCCGCCCUGGACGUGGCCUCGGCCUCCAGCGCGCAGCUCUUCCGCCUCCGCCACCUGCAGCUGGGCCUGGAGCUGCGGCCCGAGGCGCGCGAGCUGGCCGGCUGCCUGGUGCUCGAGCUGUGCGCGCUGCGGCCCGCGCCCCGCGCGCUCGUGCUCGACGCGCACCCGGCCCUGCGCCUGCACUCGGCAGCCUUCCGCCGCGCCCCCGCCGCCGCCGAGACGCCCUGCGCCUUCGCCUUCCCCGCCCCGGGGCCGGGGCCCCCGCCGCCCCCGCUGCCCGCCUUCCCCGAGGGUCCCGGCACCGAGCCCGCCUCCUGCCCUCUGGCCUUCAGGCUGGACCCGUUCACCGACUAUGGCUCCUCGCUCACGGUCACUCUGCCGCCUGAACUGCAGGCGCACCAUCCCUUCCAGGUCAUCCUGCGCUACACCUCGACCGACGCCCCCGCCGUGAGUCCCUCCCGGUGCGCGCAGGGGCUACGAGGCAGGGUGGUGGUGGUGGUCCGCAGGGCUCUCCAGGUGGCUUCUUGCCGCGCUGCCAGGCCAGGAGACCUUAAUCUGCACCCUGCACAUGGAGCACCUGCAGAGAACGUGGGGGCAGCUUGGCUCUGGAGUCCUGCCCUAGUGCCUUCUGCAAUUCCCAGCUGCUUCCUGUGAACACUUAGGAACUUUGGAUAGAGCUCCAGGUCCAGGCCCGGUGGCAGUGGGGACCGUGACAGCAUGUCACCCAGCGAGGUCCCUGUUAAGAUGUUCUGUCCAUGUCUGGGCUCAAGAGCAGCUUCUGAUGGGCACCUGCCAAGCCAUACUAGAGCCUGGCAUUGAGGGGCUGGGGAUGUAAGAUGCAGAAGGGCCUCCUAGUGACCUUGCCUUCAGAGGGCUCAAACACCCACAUCUGUUCUUUGGAAGUGGGCUGAGGGAAGGCCAGUCCCAGUGGGAGGCAGAGGAGAGGCUGGUGGACCGUGGGGCUUGGCUCUGGGCUCCAGCGCUGGGCUGGCAGUGUGCUGAGGAGGGUGGGCCUCAUGCUCCCGGCACAGAUGCACUAGGCUCUGCAGGGCUUUUGGCAAAAGGCACCCCACCACUCCAGAGGACCUGCCAGAAAAGCCACGUGAUCCAAGUCAGGCAUUGUGACUACAGGGCCAAUGGUGGGGCUUGCAGGAUGGAGCAGAGCCUUUCAGUUCCAAAGCAUAGUAGUUCAUGCCAGGUCCCCAGGAAGCACAUAAAGCACACAUAUGACACCCAGUGUGCAUACACAGCAUGUUCACAGCUCUGGAAGUCUUGGAAGGUCUGUUUUUCCUCUGCCUGGGACACCCAAAUGGACAGGUCAGAAAUCAGGAUGGGCCAAGGUGACAACUGGGCAGGAAAAGCCCAGAUUGGAGGUGCACCUGUGGGCCUCCUGCACUUUCCCAGGAGCUCUGAGCAGAGCCUGCCACUUCACUGUCCUCCCAGAGCCCUGUGGGUCUGCCAGCUGCUGGCCUGCAGGGCUCGACCCUGCAUGUGCAGUCCAGGGCUCUCUGGUGUCAGGUGUGCCUCUCUGCAUGACAAGUGAGAACUGAGGAACAACUUCCUUCCCUGGACCUCAUCUUGAACUUGGACUCCAUGUGUCUGCUCUACCAGUGCCAGCCAAGUGGAGGGCCAGGGCUUUUGCCAGGCUGUGCAGACAGGGCCAGUGCGUAAAGUGUGGCCAUUGUUUCUGAGCUUCCCUUGCCCUGCAGGGCGUCCCUUGAUUGUUUCAGACAGGGAAUGGUGAUGCAGUCCCUUCAGACUGAGUGGGUCCAGGAUUGGUGGCUGGGGACCAGGCUUGAUGUGUGAGCUAGUCUAUUUGCAGAAGCAGAGUGGCCUCUAGCUUUGGGCAUUCACCGUUGCAUGUGAGCACUGCAGAGCUCAGGGUCAUGCCCCUAAGCCUGUCUUUCUGCCAAGCAGGGGAACAGCUGGGUUGUCCCACUCCCUGCCAGUAGGCCCUCCAGAGGGGCUGCAUGCUCUGGUCCAUGCCCUCACACCCCAGCAAGAACAGCUUUUUUCCUGACCCGCAGUGUCUGUUCCUUCCCUACCAGAUCGAUGUUCAGCGGCUGAACAGGUUGCCCUGCUGGGGCUCAGUGACCCACCUCUGGGGUAGGGGCCAGCCUCUCAAUGGAGAGCAUACAGCUGAGGUUAAGGGGUGAGAGCUGGGGAGAGCCUGAGGGGCCCCUGGGGAGGGAGGGAGGGCACUGCAGGAGUGGAGACAAUGCAGAGGAGGAAGCGGGCUAAAGGCACGUGAGAACGGCCAGGGCCUGUCCUCCAGCAUGGUCAGGGAACACCUGCAGAGGGCUUCACGCACUGCAGGGACACUCCGCCACAUAGGUCCCUAGGUUCUGGGCCUGCAGAUCCCAGAGCUCUGGGGCAGGACCAGGAGGCUGCACAAGGUCCCGAGACAGGUCUCUAGGGCAGCCCUGGGCCACCAGAAACAGAACCUCCGUAGGCUUGCUAUGGUGAGGAGACAGGAACAGGACACAGAAGGAAGAAAUCUGCCAACAGACAGGAGUCAGAUCUGUGUGGAAGGCAGCACUUCCGGACCUGGGACCCGCCUGAGUGUGGGGUCUGCAGGGCAGGCAGCCAGCCCCCUGGUCUGGGGGUGGCUGCUCUCAGGUCUGGCCUCUAUACCCCCUAUGAUAGUGGCCACUUUCAAUUGCAGAUCUGCCCACUCUUAGAGGACAGUUGGAGGUGUCUUCCAGUUGUGGCCUGUUUGUUCGACUUUGUUUCGGCAAUCAAACUGCCCCCUUCGCUGGCAGGGUGGGUGCAGGACCAGGCAGCAUAGUGGCAGCUCUCAGGGUGGGCCUGGCCUCCUCCUCUGGGGUACAGAAAGUCUCAGCAGCAAUGGGGUGGGCGGGAGGCUUGGCCCUGAGGGUGGGCAAGAAGAGCAAACCAAGCCACCUGCUCCAGCCCUGCCUCCAGGCACAGCCCGAAGCCCUCCAUGGCCACUCCUGUCCUCUUGGCCCUUGGUGUCUGGCCUCCAUUUACUGGCAGGCUGCCCUGGCCUGAAUGCUGGCCCUGGGCACAGGCUGACUCCUUGGCAGUGCUGGUCGCAGGAGGUUCUGGUUUUCCUGCUUUCUGUGAUCCUGGCUGAGACCAGGUUGGCUGCCAGCUGUGGGGGUUUGGACCAGGUUCUGCUGUGCCUUGGUUCCCCUUUGAAGCUCGGGUAAUGCCAUGAAGGGCUCUCUUCUCUCCUCCCUGUUAGGACUGGGCUGGACCCAGACAUAUGGCCUCCUUCCCGGGCACAGCCUGGCUCUGGGGACUAGGGCAGGCCACAGGCCAUGCUCUAGCUAAUGACUCUUGCUGUUCCCCCCACCCGGGGAGAGGUGAGGACACCAGGUGGGCAGUGCAGGCUAUGGACAGGAGCUGUGGUCUGUGACAAGCCCAGCAGUGGUCCCCUUCCAGACCCCUACUGCCUUCCUCUCCUGCCACUGCCCCUUCCUUGGCCCCAAGGCUCUGGCCUCCAGCCUCAGGCCAGGUGACUGCUGACCCUCAACCCUGCCUGCAGAUCUGGUGGCUGGACCCAGAGCUGACCUACGGCAACGCCAAGCCCUUCGUCUUCACCCAGGGCCACUCCGUGUGCAACCGCUCCUUCUUCCCGUGCUUCGACACACCUGCCGUCAAGUGCACCUACUCAGCUGUGGUCAAGGUCGGGGCCCACCCGUGCCUCCUUCAGGGGCUGCAUGAAGGGCCCAGGCCACUGGCCUGGCUAGCCUACCUCCUCUUCUCUGUUGCCUGUUUGGGCUGUGGCCUCAGAUGCCACUAGGCCACUGUCCUAGAGAAAUCCACCUCCCCACUGUGCAGAAGGACAUCUCUGCAGGGAGGGUGGCCAGGUUGCAUUCCUGAUGAGGGCCCUUCCUAGACCACAGCGAGGCCCUGACUGGACAAGAAGCCUUCUGUCAGGAGCAUGGCUUGUAGGGCUGUCUGACGGGAUGUUGGGUUCCCUCUCAUGGAUGGGGAGCUCCUUGACCGAGAUUGUGGGACCCCCCACCCAGGGGAGAGGUGGGGGACACCAGGUGGGCAGUGCAGGACCCCCCAUUGGAAGGUAUAGGGCUCCCUGGUGAAGACCUGGGUCCCUAUCACAGAUAUGGGUCUCCUGUCCUGGGGGUGAGUGCCCUGCCUGGUAGACUGCCUAUCCUCAGCUGGCCCCCUUGCAGGCCCCAUCAGGGGUACAGGUGCUAAUGAGUGCCACCCAGAGUGUGUACCUGGAGGAGGAAGGUGUCUACCGCUUCCACAUGGAGCACCCUGUGCCCGCCUACCUCGUGGCCCUUGUGGCUGGAGACCUCAAGCCAGCAGACAUCGGACCCAGGUAGGCCUCCGGUCCUGCUGCUCCCAUGCAAGGUGGUCCAGGCCUCAGGCAGAGCCCCCACAGCCUGGGUCUGCACCCUGCACCCACAGCUGCCCUGCCGAGGCCCCUGGGCUGCAGGUAUGUGACCUGCUGCCAGGCCCUGCUCAUCCACACAUUCUCAGACCAGACAGCCUGACCUGUCCAGUGCUCUAUCAGCCUGAACUUCCAGGGCCACAUGCAGCCACAUGCUCUCGCAGGUUCCUUUACCCAGUGACAGAGCAGAUCAAAAGGUCGCAGAGUGCGGGGCCACCCCUGCACUCGGGAGGGAAGGGCCACUGUAGCCCCUGUCCAGGGUGGUGAGCUAAGGCAGUCAGCCUGCCAGAGGAGGCAGAAGGAAGGCCUCAGCCCACCCUCUGCACCCUCUGCAGGAGCCGCGUGUGGGCAGAACCAUGUCUCCUCCCCACGGCCACCAGCAAGCUGUCAGGGGUGGUGGAGCAGUGGCUGAGUGCGGCAGAGCGGCUCUACGGGCCGUACAUGUGGGGCAGGUACGUCCUGUCCCCUGGCGGCCUGCCACCACUUGAGGGAGGCCACGUCCCUGCCCUCUGGAGGAAGAAGGGGCAUGCCCUAGGCCCUGUCCCCCAUCUCCUGGGAAGAAGGGAACUCCCUGCAGGGCUGGAGUGCUGCCCCUGAUGGAGGGCCUGUGAGGCCUGCUGAUGCCCCCCGUCACCUGCACUCACGGCACAGGUACGACAUUGUCUUCCUGCCCCCCUCCUUCCCCAUCGUGGCCAUGGAGAACCCCUGCCUCACCUUCAUCAUCUCCUCCAUCCUGGAGAGUGACGAGUUUCUGGUCAUUGAUGUCAUCCAUGAGGUGGCCCACAGCUGGUUUGGCAAUGCCGUCACCAACGCCACGUGGGAGGAGAUGUGGCUCAGCGAGGGCCUGGCCACCUACGCACAGCGCCGCAUCACCACAGAGACCUAUGGUACCACCUGGGGAGGAGUCUGGAGCCGCCUCGGGCAGAUGGGGCACUGCCCUCUGCCAGGGGCUAGAGCUGGCCCAGCCUCCUGUGUUCUGUGUCCUGCUCUCCUCUGGGGUCUGGCCCACAGGCUCAGGGCAGGGAGCUCAAGGGCCAGCGUGGCUCCACUGUGGCAGCUCUCCCGACUCCACCACCUCCUCUCGCCUGCCUGGCCCUCCCCACCCAGGUGCCGCCUUCACCUGCCUGGAGACAGCCUUCCGCCUGGACGCCCUACACAGGCAGAUGAGGCUCCUUGGAGAGGACAGUCCAGUCAGCAAGCUGCAGGUCAAGCUGGAGCCAGGUGCCUGCUCCCACCAGGCCUGUGCCUGGGACCCGGUGGAUGCCACCCACCCCUCAGGCCUCCUUCCCUGCCUCUGGCUUGCUCAGGCCGGGCUGAGUCCCCACAAAGGUCAGGAUGGGUGUUCCCAGCCCAGGGAAUGCCUUCUGGGCUACCCUGGCCUGCCCCUGUCUCAUGCCUUCAAGUGCCCAUCACUGAGAUGUGGACCCUCAGGUGCCCGAGCCCCCAGGCAGGGAAGGGCCAGGCCCAUCCCUGCACACCCAGGGUGCUAGUAGGACCCUGACCUUAUGAGGGACAGUGGCCCUCUGCCCAUCCUGCUCCUCAGUGCAGGCCACUGCCCUCCCCUCCCCUGCCAGCCCAGACAAGGUAUUCCCUGCAGGCGUGAACCCCAGCCACCUGAUGAACCUGUUCACCUAUGAGAAGGGCUACUGCUUCGUGUACUACCUGUCCCAGCUCUGUGGAGACCCCCAGCGCUUCGACGACUUUCUCCGAGUGAGCAUUGGACCUGCACCUCCUGCCUCACCCCGCCCCAGCACACAGGGCUGCCUGUCUUGGGGGGAGGGUGGCGUCCGUAGGGACACCCAGAGCCCUACCAGGACCUGGCCUGCUGAGACAGCACGGCCUUCCUCUCCUGUCCGCCCCAGUGGGCCGCUCACGUCCAUGGCACACACCCUGAGUUGCUGUGAAGGCCCCAGCUCUGACCGGGGCCAGGCCUGGCCAGCCCUCCAGGCCUGCUCAGUGGCCGCCCCUCCCCCCACAGGCCUACGUGGAGAAGUUCAAGUUCACCAGCGUGGUGGCCCAGGACCUGCUGGGCUCCUUCCUGAGCUUCUUCCCAGAGCUGAAGGAGCAGAGUGUGGACUGCCGGGCAGGUGACAGUGGGGACCGUCUGCCCAAGCUGCGGGCCCUACCUGGAGAAAAGCCCCAUCUGUCACAUCUUUCCUUCAGCCAGCCCUCACUGGCCCUCGUGGACCCCAAGCCUGGACCACGAGCACAAAGGAGGCUGUGCCUCCCAGCCUGAGGGGGCCUCCUGGAGGAGGUGGCACUUAGGUGGAGCAGGCCAAGUUAGGAGCCAGGGGACCAGGGCCCAGCGGGAUCCUAAGGGGCAGGGUUGGCCCUGCUGGCUCCACUACACCACACCCUCGAGGACUUCCCAGAGGGUCUGAGGGUAUGGGGGAUCAAGGAAGGAACUGGAGGGUCCUGAAAUCCAGGGAGGGGCCAGAAUCCGUUGGAAUGCAAUGAGGCACAGCUGGGAGAUCUGGGCACGGUGACCCUAAAUUCUGGAAGGUCCCUAAGUGCAUCAACUGUUUUUGGGGGGUAGGGGAGUGGCCAGCCUGGUACCACUGCUUUAGAGCAUGUGUCAUCACCUCUCACAGUGAAGUCAUCUUUAAAGGACUCAAUUGUCUUGUGCCCAGGCUGGGCCUGGAGAGGGUGGAGGUCACAUGGCCACUGACCCGAGUCCUUCUGGCUUCCCUGUGACCUUCACGGGAGUCUCUUUGGGGGCUUAAAGAGGCAGGCACUGGCCGGAGAUGACCCUUCCCCAAUCACCCAUGUCCCUGGGAGCCUCAGUUCCUGGAACCAGCCACUUCAGACUGGGUCUUCUGGGCAGCUGGGUGGGACCACAGGACCGCUGUUCCUUGCAGGGCUGGAGUUUGAGCGCUGGCUCAAUGCCACGGGCCCACCGCUGGCCGAGCCGGACCUAUCUCAGGGGUCCAGCCUGACCCGGCCUGUGGAGGCCCUGUUCCAGCUGUGGACGGCGGAGCCCCUCGAUCAGGCGGCAGCGUCAGCCAGUGCCGUGGACAUCUCCAAGUGGAGGACCUUCCAGACGGCACUCUUCCUGGACCGGCUCCUGGAUGGGUCCCCGCUGCCUCAGGGUGGGUCCCUCAGCCAGCAGGUGGCCCUGGGGGGAGUGGCACUGGCCUGGCCUGACUUGCCGCUGCCCCACAGAGGUGGUGAUGAGCCUGUCCAAGUGCUACUCCUCCCUCCUGGACUCCAUGAACGCUGAGAUCCGCAUUCGCUGGCUGCAGAUCGUGGUGCGCAACGACUACUACCCAGACCUCCACCGGGUGCGGCGCUUCCUGGAGAGCCAGGUGCAGACACCUGUCUGGGGUCGGGGCUGGGGGUGGCCUCACUCAGGGGCCCAACCACCCUCUCUCUCUCCAGCCUGACUGCUCAGGCAGGCAGGCACACCAGAGAGUUGGGUGGCAAGGUCUGGGGGUCUGGGCUGGGAACCGGCCUGAGUCGGGGGAGACAGGUAUAAGUCAAAGCUCAGAGGCAGCCUGGACUGCACCAGUCCUGGGAGAGACCAUGGAGGCCCAAGAUGGGAGUUGGUGUCCAAGGGUCUCCGCUCACAGCCUGGACCUGGACCUAGCUGGGCCUCCAGCCUGUGGUGUUCAGCUCCCAGGUGGGCACAGGGGCAUCCAAGUUCCUCCAACAGUGGCAGGUUCCAGCCUGUGGGACCUGACUUCCCUGGGGCACCCCUCCAGCCCAAUCAGCAUGGAAGAGGAGGUCAGGGUGACCGACUGGUGGGGGUCUUGGGCUGUGUGAGUCCAGACCAAGGCCUGGUGAAGCCGCUGGAGCAGGUCCAGGGAUUGGAAGGCCUCCCGCCAGGCGGGGUUGGUGGGAGAGGCCCGGGGAGCCCACUAGGUGACCUGGUGUCCCCACAGAUGUCGCGCAUGUACACCAUCCCACUGUAUGAGGACCUCUGCACGGGUGCCCUCAAGUCCUUUGCGCUGGAGGUCUUCUAUCAGACGCAGGGCCGGCUGCACCCCAAUCUGCGCAGAACCAUCCAGCAGAUCCUGUCCCAGGGCCUGGGCCCCAGUGCCGAGGCCAGCACUGAGCCCGACGCUGAGCUGGCCAGAGCUGGGGCAGAGGCAGGGUCAGACUCGGCAGCCCUGCUGCUUGGCGACGAGGCCCCCAGUAGCGCCAUCUCUCUCAGGGACGUCAACGUGUCUGCCUAGCCCUGACAUUGGGCCAACCUUCAACCUCCCAGACACCAAGAUUGUGCCUUCUGUGGCCCGGGCCGCCAUGACUGCGCCUUGGCUCUGGCCACGAGCUCGGCCCGGGCCCGUGAGCCUCUCCCGUGGGCUCUCCCGUGGGCUCUCCCGGGGGCUCUCCCAGGCUGGGGGCUUGGGGAGAGGGAUUCUGUCUAGUGGCAGCCCUGGGGGCCUGAGCUCACCCUGUCCCAGCUGUCCUGCACUGUGGGCCUCAGGACUGGCCUUAUGCACCACGCCUCCCAUCUCAACACUGACAGCCAUGCGUGGCCCCGGACACCCGCACCUGCUGGACACCAUCGUGGGACCGCAGCUCCAGCAGCUCAUGGCGACCACCACACUGUGCCUUACGUCUGCAGACAGGCUGCACUGCCCCCGAGGCACAGCUUCCCCAGAACCCUGCACUGUUAUCCCCUGGCAGAGGGACAAGGACGCGAUGUACCCUCACUGUGGGGGCUGGGGACAGGAGAGAAGGGGCAUCACAUGGGGAGCCUUGGCCCCUCGGCACAUGGAGUCCAGGCCCCAGAGGCCUGUUCUCCCAGCUGCCUGGGGUAGCGGCACAGCCACCCGGCUCACCCCAGGAAAGGGGUGGUGCUGAUGCUCUUGGGGCACACCUGCUGGAGGCACCAGGUAGGAAGGCUCCAGCUUGGGACUGUGCAGUGGGCACCACGUGACUGUCCCAUUAAACCUCCACUCUGCAGACUGACCUCCCUUUCUGUCUGUCCCCAUGCCUGUCCUCUGCCCUGUAUGGGGCUGGGGUUUGGGACAAGCACUGCCCCAGAGCCCACAGCAGCAGGCCUCCCCUUGUCCUCUGCCAGGCCUCCUGGGCAUGAGCACAGCCUCCCCAGGACCUGCAAAGUGGCAGGCUGUCACACCCUGACUGUGGACCGUCACCCGAGUCUGGCCUUGGUGGCAGGGCUCUUCCACAGUGGAGUGCAGGCAGAGGCAUUUGUGGCAGGGAGAGUCUUGGAGGUUACGGGUAUAGGAACUGUAGGAAGUCCCCCAAUGCAGGGCCACCACCAUUAUGGCAGGCCAUGGGGUUUGAUGUCCCCACUGUGACAAAGGCAGCUCUGCUCACAAGGUGGUGGCUGGCACAACUCCGCAUAGCCACUCGAGGACUCAGGCUGGCAGCAGGGCCACCAUCAGGACCGCACAGAACUUUGCUUCUUCCACCUGGGCAACAUGCUGUGGCCUGGAGGUAACACAUCUCUUGUCCCAGCUGGCUGGCCACCCUCCAGUCUCUGUCACCAGUUGUCUCAUGCACCCUCUUUCCUGUUCAGGAUGUACCCUCCCACCUCCCAGGGGAGACAGUCCAAGUACCCUCCAAAAGUUUGGGACCAGGGUUUGAGUCACCUCUCCAUAAGAUGGCUCAUGUGCACAGUCUACCGCAGCACUGGGACAUCCAGGGACAGGAACCCAGAGGUCACCUUACCCUCAUACCAAGCACUGAACAGGGAGGGGAUGGAUGCAGUGGUGCCCUACACAGGAGAAGGACGGGGUCACCUGAUCUCAGCCCUGCCGGGUGGCCACAACCAAAACCAGCACACAAGCUGCAUUCUCUGGACCUAGGCACCAUCCUCAUAAGGACCCACCCUUUUGCUGGUUCCUUGCCCUCGCCCCAAUAUGGGGCCCACAGAAAGGCUGUCCCUGGCAGCCUCUUCCCCGUGAAAGCUGCCUCCAGGUCUCCAGUCAAACUAAUCCCAGGCUCGUGGUUUCUUUGGCAAUUAUUCAAGGCAACACCUUUGUGGUCUCCGGCUUCCUGACCCCAGUGCCAGGCGCCACACCCGCACCCACAGAGCUGCCUCCAGACACUGCUUGGAUCUGUCAGAAGAGACAGCUAGCAGUGAUAGCCACAGUGGGGGCACACCCAGGAUGCCAUCCUUGAUGCCACUCUGUCCUGGCUCUGCACACUCCCAUCAGGGGGCAGAGGCAUGCCCUUUGAGAAAGGCCCUGCCCUCCCGGCCUGCCUCACUGCCUUUCUCCAGCUGCCAAACCUGGAAGGUGCCAUCGGUUCCCUUCCUGCAGGUCCUUGUCAAGGCAGCCUGUGACCAAUCUUCACUGCCAACCCGCUCCCCACCUCCUCCGCUCCCACUCCUGUCAGUGCAUGGCACCUGCUUCGCGAGGCCCACAGGUGAGCCAACAUUCCAGCUGUGUUUGCUGACAGCCACGGCCCAGUCUGGUCAGUGCAUGCCUGUGUUCUGUCAGGCUGGACUGCUGGAGCCACCAGCAAUGCGGCAGCACUGCCGUCUGCAGCAAGGAAGUUCACGUCUCACUCAGGCUGCAGUCCACCUCGGCUGGCAGGGUGGCUGGGCUUUCUCCUUAGGGUGCUGAUGGAGGAGACACUGGGGUUCCCAGGCACUGUGCCAGGAUAACAAGAGCUGUGGAGGGCCCUACACCACUUCUGUUCCUGCAGGCCCACCCACCCCAGCCUGAGCACGGCAGUCGGGGUAUUUGGCAGACAGCACCCAUCACCACCGGAGGCCAGAAUGUUGGGAAAU
rnacentral:lncRNA from 1 species